GAUGAACGCUGGCGGCGUGCCUAAUACAUGCAAGUCGAGCGAACAGACGAGGAGCUUGCUUCUCUGACGUUAGCGGCGGACGGGUGAGUAACACGUGGAUAACCUACCUAUAAGACUGGGAUAACUUCGGGAAACCGGAGCUAAUACCGGAUAAUAUAUUGAACCGCAUGGUUCAAUAGUGAAAGACGGUUUUGCUGUCACUUAUAGAUGGAUCCGCGCCGCAUUAGGUAGUUGGUAAGGUAACGGCUUACCAAGGCGACGAUGCGUAGCCGACCUGAGAGGACGACCGGCCACACUGGGACUGAGACACGGCCCAGACCCCUACGGGAGGCAGCAGUGGGGAAUUUUGGACAAUGGGCGAAAGCCGGAUGGAGCAACGCCGCGUGCGGGAAGAAGGUCUUCGGGUUGUAAACCUCUUUUAUAAGGAAAGAAAAGGCUCGGGCGAAUAUCUGGGGCUCAUGACGGUACCUAAAGAAAAAGCACCGGCUAACUACGUG
rnacentral:rRNA from 1 species